UGGAAGUUUUUCAGGGGCAAGAAGCCGCCCUCACACGGCGGAGGCCCCAGGUUCAAAUCCUGGCCCGCCCACCA
rnacentral:tRNA from 1 species